CCCAAGCCUCUCCUCCGCGGCACGAACCCGAGCUACGGCCACUUGAACCCAUAGCCGUCAUCUGCAUCCUUGCCGUUUUCAGUACUGCACUCCUUUCACGAUUCAAUCCCUCCUCAUGGUUUCGUUCUUGAACUGCAUCUAGUAUUGUGAAAAAUAACAGAGAAGAGUGAUGAAAAUACAGAAGAGCAACAAGAAGAAAGAAGAGGAAGAAGACAAGGUAGGAGGAGCGGUAUACAAUCUUGAAUUUUCAUCUGUGGAGAGGUUGAUGCAGGAGAAGCAUUCCAGGGAGGAGAAGAAAGCCGAUGAAAGGGUGGAACCCAACCAAAGGGCCAUUUGAUCGAUCUUCUUCCUCGACAUGAUGUUGUUGUUGGAAUUCUCCAUCAUUAGUCGCGGAAUCAGAUCGAGAAUGCAAUCCGGUGAAAAAUGAAGCAAGAUUUCUCACAUUGGUGGAAAACAAAGCAAGAUUUCUCGCGUGAUCGGAAGAGUUUAGGUUCACAAGUUUUUUUUUCCCCACUUUCAGUCCCAAUUACAAUUCCUCUAAAUUGAGACCUGCAUACGAAACAGGCCUUAAUGUUCAUGUAUAUGUAAGCACGUCUUUCUUCGUGGUCUAGACACUUCUUCAUCAGUUUCACAGGUUAAAGCUACAAAGGAUUCGGGGCCGCACGAAAGGGUGUGGGGCUGUAUAGGAGCAUGCAAAAUAUUUGUUGUUCGUAGCACAUUCUUAUAGAUUAGAGCAAUGCCGAGCUCAGGCGCGUGAAGUGGAGCAGGAUUUAAUGAUAUGCCAGAGGACGAGCAAGCAGAACGGGAAAUGGUCCAAAUCUACCGUGCAAUUGUUUGGUCUAUCACAUUUUCCCACACAUGAUUUUUCAGCAUCAAAUAGGCUUAUUUUGUGGCUUCAAUUAUUUCGAAUACCUGUAGCUAGCACGUAGUUGGUAUAUCUAGUUGAUCACUUAAGUUGUCUUUUGCCAUUACAAUAAAUAAAGGUCAAGGUUAAGACAAAUAGUGAUUAGCUUGUUGGUUAAAAAAAGAUUGAUUAGCUUUCAGUUUCAGUUUGCUGGAUUCAAGAGCCUUUAAUAUUUUAUCUUAUAUAUCUGAGGUUCUGAAUAGUUAACAUACAUAUGGAAUUUUUCUUACAUUCUUCUUAUGUUCUGGCUUGGAGUAAUUUGACAGUUAAAGCUUUCAACUUUAAACUGAAUUUUUAUUGUCAGUAUCAAUUGAAUUACGGAAUGAUUAUUCUGCAUCAUGCCGUGAAGAAUUUAUUUUUCUGGGUCUGCUUCGUAGGAUUCGAGCAAAUGAUUAGUUGCAAAAAAGAUCUUCUCAACAGCUGAGAGGCAAACAGGAUGGCCAUCUGUUGAGUGUUGGUGAUGACAUAUCAGACAAGGGGGCAUGUUUGAAAUAAUUAGUGGUGCUAUGUCUAGAAGUAUUCUUGCUGCCAAGUGUUCAGUAUUUUUGAAAUUUUGGUUUAUGCUAUGUUUAAAUUCUCGUUCUCGCUACCUCAAAAAUUUCAUAUAUGAAA